rnacentral:rRNA from 1 species
GGGGAAUAUUGGACAAUGGGCGAAAGCCUGAUCCAGCAAUGCCGCGUGAGUGAUGAAGGCCUUAGGGUUGUAAAGCUCCUUUACCCGGGAUGAUAAUGACAGUAUCGGGAGAAUAAGCUCCGGCUAACUCCGUGCCAGCAGCCGCGGUAAUACGGAGGGAGCUAGCGUUGUUCGGAAUUACUGGGCGUAAAGCGCACGUAGGCGGCUUUUUAAGUCAGGGGUGAAAUCCCGGGGCUCAACCCCGGAACUGCCCUUGAAACUGGGAAGCUAGAAUCUUGGAGAGGCGAGUGGAAUUCCGAGUGUAGAGGUGAAAUUCGUAGAUAUUCGGAAGAACACCAGUGGCGAAGGCGACUCGCUGGACAAGUAUUGACGCUGAGGUGCGAAAGCGUGGGGAGCAAAC